UCCCUCUCAGGAUUGCACCUGGAGAGUUUCCAAUACUCUACCAGUUUCAGCUAUGGGAGGGAGUCCAUCAAGCAGAGACCUUCCCAUUCCAUUCCUAGCUUGGCCAGUGGCUAGCGAGUGGAAGGCAAUCUACUACAAGU